GCCGCGGGCUACUUAACGGAGGGCCGUCCCCAGCUCUCAGCUUACCCGGUUACGAAACGCCUGAGAAGGUGGACGGCUGCCACGGGUGAUGUAUGCGCCGCGGCGGCGAAGGAGAUUAGUUGAAUACUUUCAGAGAAAGAAAUGAAACCAUAUGACAGACGUUGUCUAAUGAUAGAAACUAUCAAGGGAUGGGACCACAAAGGAUCGUAGAAAUCAAGGAACCCGCUCCUUUGCUUCCCAUUUACAAAACCUGAGAACCAGGCAGGCACUUUGCUGGAAUCUCAGAAUACAGAGAUGGAAGACGUAGCCCACGACUUUGAGGAGCUUAUCAUCCCAGGUGCAGAGAGAGAAGCAAGAACAGGCAGAUGGGAGCUGC